GAUAAACCAACCAAAACCAAAACUAUAAACAACCCACACAGAGGAGGGGAGGGAGACCCUACACCCAACCAGAGAAAACCACCAUCCCCUGCCCAGAAAACAGGGAUGAACACUAGAGAUAGAUCAAACUCCCAUAUUAUUUACAUAUUAUUUAAAAGGGUAACUUGAAUAAUUUUUUUACUUAAAUAUUAUUAAUUAAAAUAAUAAUAAACUCUAAUAGAUUAAAAGAAUGAAUUUUGACUGAUUAAAUGAUGAGAGAACUUACAAAUUUUUAAAUUUAAAUUUAAAAACUUCAUAAAAAACUUAAUAAACAUUACACAUUUAAAAAGCAAAAUUUAUUAAACUACCUCCAUUUGUACAAGUUUUGUACAUUUCAUGAUUACACUAUCAAUUUGGCAGACCGGCCAGCCCAAAUUUAAUAACAGUGAUAAAGGGUGCAGACGUCCGAUCUCGUGCAUCGCUAAUAUUUAAGUUCUUAGAUAGCAUAAUAUUUACCAUUAGGCAAGAUGCGCUGUUACUAAAAGGGUAACCACUAAGCUAAAGUUAUUUAUUCGGUUUGUCCGCUAUUUAAGCUCUAAGGAAACUUGAAAUUAUAGAGCAACAAAAUUAAGGUGCAUUUUAAAUCAACAUUCAAAAUGCUCAUCUUCUAUUUUUCAUGUAAUUCUAUGAAAUAGUGGCUCUAUUUUGAACAGAAAAGUCAAGCAGUAAUGCACAUCAAAAACAGCUAAAAACUUGAUUAUACUAUUCUCUCAUAUUUCUAGACCUAAUCCCAUCAUUUACGUUUUGAUCAAGUCAAGAAUCCAUU
rnacentral:misc_RNA from 1 species